GUGAGGAUUGCUAAUGUGAGAUGAGAAUCUACUCACAAACAUUAAGAAGGUAACAUGAUGAGUGAAGUAAAGGUAGGUUAUAGUUGAAAGAGCCACAGGAAACUCUGUGUCCUUGCUUCCCUUUCACGCGUAUGGACUCAUAUUCCAUGAUUGAAAGGGGCUGCUACUAAGAGAAAGCAUGCUCUCAGAUAACCGUUUUCAGAUAACGUCGAGAAAGUGAGAGUAUACACAGAUCAACAUGAUGGUCCACUUAACGGGGGAAGAGAGUAAAAUGUUGGUGUCACUGACAAGGAUGGCAACAUUUAAAUGUUCAGAUCCUUACAGGAGAAGCAUUGCAGUCACUUGACAAUCUCAAGCUAUGUGUUUCUUCAGUGCUUCUUGAAAACAUUUAUAAUACAGAAGAUGGUUUUAAAAAAUGUAUAACUUUUUCAAUGAAAAUGUGAAUUUCA
rnacentral:lncRNA from 1 species